rnacentral:pre_miRNA from 1 species
AGGUCAGGGAUAGUGUAAUGCUGUGUCAUAUCAUUGCUAGUAUUGCACUCCCCCCGGCCUUU